AUGGAGUUUGUGUUUCACUGGGUUUUCUUUGUUGCUAUUUUAAAAGGUGUCCAGUGUGAUGUGCAGCUGGUGGAGUCUGGGGGAGACCUAGUGAAGCCUGGAUUCACCUUCAGUAGCUAUGCAAUGAGCUGGGUCCGCCAGGCUCCAGGGAAGGGGCUGCAGUGGGUCGCAUGGAUUAGCUAUGAUGGAAGUAGCACAUACUAUGCAGACUCAUGGAAGGGCCGAUUCACCAUCUCCAGAGACAACAGCAAGAACACGCUGUAUCUGCAGAUGAACAGCCUGAGAGCCGAGGACAGGGCCGUGUAUUACUGUGCCAGUGACACAAGUAUGAAAACUUGGAGAACAAACUAUGAACAUUGGGCUGUCCAGUGUGCGGUGCAGCUGGUGGAGUCUGGAGGAGACCUGGUGAAGCCUGGGGGCUUCCUGAUACUCUCUUUUGCAGUUUCUGGAUUCACCUGA